UGGCUCGGGCGGUUGUGCCACUCCUUAAUAGCGUUAGCGGCGGACGGGUGAGUAACACGUGGGCAACCUACCCUAUAGUUUGGGAUAACUCCGGGAAACCGGGGCUAAUACCGAAUAAUCUCUUUUGCUUCAUGGUGAAAGACUGAAAGACGGUUUCGGCUGUCGCUAUAGGAUGGGCCCGCGGCGCAUUAGCUAGUUGGUGAGGUAACGGCUCACCAAGGCGACGAUGCGUAGCCGACCUGAGAGGGUGAUCGGCCACACUGGGACUGAGACACGGCCCAGACUCCUACGGGAGGCAGCAGUAGGGAAUCUUCCACAAUGGGCGAAAGCCUGAUGGAGCAACGCCGCGUGAGUGAGAAGGUUUCGGAUCGUAAACUCUGUUGUAGGGAAGACAAGUACAGUAGUAACUGGCUGUACCUUGACGUACCUUAUAGAAAGCACGGCUACUACGUGCAGCAGCCGCGUAUACGUAGGUGGCAGCGUGUCGGAAUAUGGGCGUAAGCGCGCGCAGGCGUCUUUAGUCUGAUG
rnacentral:rRNA from 1 species